rnacentral:rRNA from 1 species
GACGAACCGAGCGAACGUUGUUCGGAAUCACUGGGCUUAAAGGGCGCGUAGGCGGGCUGUCAAGUCCGGGGUGAAAUCUUUCGGCUUAACCGGAAAAGUGCCUUGGAUACUGAUGGUCUCGAGGGAGGUAGGGGCAGCUGGAACUUCCGGUGGAGCGGUGAAAUGCGUUGAUAUCGGAAGGAACUCCGGUGGCGAAAGGGAGCUGCUGGACCUCUUCUGACGUUGAGGCGCGAAAGCUAGGGGAGCAAACGGG